AGGAAGAGAAAGAAGAACAACAUGCUCUUCACCAUUCACGUCCCCUCUUCUCUCCUCUCUGCCAAACCCCUAUUCUCCCUCCACCACCAUUCAUCGAUGCCAUCGAUCUCCCACUACAACUUGUUCUAAUCGAAUUAUAUCAUUUGAUUUGAUGCAGAUUCGAUUUGAAACUGUUGAUUAUUGCUGGAUUUGGGGUAAAUUUUUGGAUUCAAGUUCCUAUACACAAGGAUGAAUAGGUAGGUUGUUAGUGAGUAACUCAGACUUUGAUAAAAGUAUGACACUGGUUGAGUUUUACUACACCAUGUACAAAAAGUUCAGCUCCUAUACAAGGUUAAGUCCACUCUUCAACUUCACUAGUUUUGUUCAUUCUUUUAAAGAAUGAGAUAGCAGGUUCAUGUAUCUGAAUCGUAGAAAAUUGUUGUAUAACUAUACUGAAGAACGUUUUCUUAUACGCAUAGUAUUAUGAGUAAGGGUGGGUGCUCAGUUUCAGAAGAGUGCAUUGAAGACAAUGAUAUCGGGUAAUGUGACUGUAUCAUGGACGAGCCUUUCAUCGAGUACAUAGGAGCACUAAUGGCACCCUAUGAAAUUACCUGCAAAAUUUCCAUUUCGUAAAGGGCCUGAUAUAAAAGAAUGGUUAUCGUAGUACUCGUGACCUAUGAAGCACUGACUCAUAUAAUAUACAUUAUCUCAGUUUCUUUAAGUUCCAAAUACUCUCUGUUGUGACUAAAGUCUGAAUAAAUGUUUUGUGUUGUUAUGUAAUAAUGACCUUUGAUUUCCGUAAUUUUAAUACUAACUAAAAAUAUAUCACCUUUGAUUCUGCAUUUGAAUUCAUAUAUAUUGAUAAGCUAUACAUUGAUAAGACUAUAUAGUUACUUCUUUUCAUUAGUUAAUGAUGAAAAUCACAGUGAAGAACGUGAAAAUGAUUUUACAAAUUUAGUUGUUUUCUCUAUACAUUACUUUCAAUGCAAAUCUUACUUUAUACAUCAAAUUGACAUUUCAUCAAAGAGUAAGAAAACAAAUGAAGUGAUUUUAGAUUCAAAUAUUAAAUCUCAA